GAGGGUUGAAGAAUCUAAAAGAAGCCGCUAACUAUCUUUUAAAGCGGUUAAACUCCGUUUACCCUCU
rnacentral:tRNA from 1 species